ncrna:unclassified sequences Betaproteobacteria-1 RNA
GUUCUGAUUGGCGGCUCUAACGACAUCGUAGCGAUCAGAAUACAAGCGUUACUAGUAGGGUAAGUGGAUGUAAUAGCGCAAGAUCGGUGGCGAAGUUAGUGCCGAUUCCACGAAAGACUGACGGGU